rnacentral:rRNA from 1 species
GACGGGUGAGUAAUGCCUAGGAAUCUGCCUGGUAGUGGGGGACAACGUUUCGAAAGGAACGCUAAUACCGCAUACGUCCUACGGGAGAAAGCAGGGGACCUUCGGGCCUUGCGCUAUCAGAUGAGCCUAGGUCGGAUUAGCUAGUUGGUGAGGUAAUGGCUCACCAAGGCGACGAUCCGUAACUGGUCUGAGAGGAUGAUCAGUCACACUGGAACUGAGACACGGUCCAGACUCCUACGGGAGGCAGCAGUGGGGAAUAUUGGACAAUGGGCGAAAGCCUGAUCCAGCCAUGCCGCGUGUGUGAAGAAGGUCUUCGGAUUGUAAAGCACUUUAAGUUGGGAGGAAGGGUUGUAGAUUAAUACUCUGCAAUUUUGACGUUACCGACAGAAUAAGCACCGGCUAACUCUGUGCCAGCAGCCGCGGUAAUACAGAGGGUGCAAGCGUUAAUCGGAAUUACUGGGCGUAAAGCGCGCGUAGGUGGUUUGUUAAGUUGGAUGUGAAAUCCCCGGGCUCAACCUGGGAACUGCAUCCAAAACUGGCAAGCUAGAGUAUGGUAGAGGGUGGUGGAAUUUCCUGUGUAGCGGUGAAAUGCGUAGAUAUAGGAAGGAACACCAGUGGCGAAGGCGACCACCUGGACUGAUACUGACACUGAGGUGCGAAAGCGUGGGGAGCAAACAGGAUUAGAUACC